AGUCUGCAACUCGACUACAUGAAGCUGGAAUCGCUAGUAAUCGCGGAUCAGAAUGCCGCGGUGAAUACGUUCCCGGGUCUUGUACACACCGCCCGUCACACCAUGGGAGUCAGUAACGCCCGAAGUCAGUGACCCAACCGUAAAGGAGGGAGCUGCCGAAGGCGGGACGGAUAACUGGGGUGAAGUCGUAACAAGGUAGC
rnacentral:rRNA from 1 species